rnacentral:rRNA from 1 species
AUACGUAGGGGGCGAGCGUUAUCCGGAUUUAUUGGGCGUAAAGCGUGUGUAGGCGGUUUGUUAAGUUUAAGAUUAAAGCCCGAGGCUUAACCUCGGUUCGUCUUAAAAACUGGCAGACUUGAGUGCCGUAGAGGCAAGUGGAAUUUCUAGUGUAGCGGUUAAAUGCGUAGAUAUUAGAAGGAACACCAGUGGCGAAGGCGGCUUGCUGGGCUGUUACUGACGCUGAGACACGAAAGCGUGGGGAGCAAAUAGGAUUAGAUACCCUAGUAGUCCACGCCGUAAACGAUGAGUACUAAGUGUCGGGUAACCGGUGCUGAAGUUAACACAUUAAGUACUCCGCCUGAGUAGUACGGUCGCAAGGCUGAAACUCAAAUGAAUUGACGGGG